rnacentral:SRP_RNA from 1 species
GGACCUCAUGCAAUGCGGGUGUGUGAACCUUGUCAGGGUCGGAAGGCAGCAGCAAUAAGCAUUGCUUCGUGUGUGCCGUGAG